rnacentral:tRNA from 3 species
GCGGGAGUAGAUCAGUGGUAGAUUAGCAGCUUCCCAAGCUGCCUGUCGCGGGUUCAAAUCCCGUCUCCCGCU